rnacentral:tRNA from 1 species
ACCUGGCUGGCUCAAUCAGUAGAGCAUGAGACUCUUGAUCUUGGGGUUUUGUGCUCAAGCCCCACGUUGGGUA